CAGAAGCCUACUCUCACCUAUAUAAACAAUCCAUCCCACUACUUUGAUUUUCAAACAAAGCAUCUUAAUCCCCUGUUCUCUCUAAUCGAAUCGCAUCCCUUUCGUUUCGAAAACUCCCAAAUUCCCAAACCCUAACUUUUCUCUCACAACUCCAAUGGCGCCCAAAGCUGAGAAGAAGCCCGCCGAGAAGAAGCCAGCGGAGGAGAAGAAGUCGACUGUGGCUGAGAAAGCCCCGGCCGAGAAGAAGCCCAAGGCCGGCAAGAAGCUCCCCAAGGAGGCCGGAGCCGCCGCCGGAGAUAAGAAGAAGAAGAGAUCGAAGAAGAGCGUAGAGACCUACAAGAUCUAUAUCUUCAAGGUGCUGAAGCAGGUUCACCCUGAUAUUGGGAUCUCCAGCAAGGCCAUGGGCAUCAUGAACAGCUUCAUCAACGACAUCUUUGAGAAGCUCGCCCAGGAGUCUUCCAGGCUUGCAAGGUACAACAAGAAGCCGACCAUUACUUCUCGGGAGAUCCAGACUGCUGUGAGGCUUGUGCUUCCUGGUGAGCUCGCUAAGCACGCGGUGUCUGAAGGGACUAAGGCGGUGACCAAGUUUACAAGUUCUUGAAGUGUGGUGGGUUCUGCUCUGUUCCGGAUAUGUAGUUUUUCGAUGUCAAGUGUUUAGAUUAAGGGUUUAGUUUAGUAGAUAUGUAAUUCACUAUCAGUUCUUUCAACGAAAUACUAUGGUUUAUAUGAUCUGAAUUCUGUGCUCACAUGGAUUAUACCUGGAAUAUUGUGAUCUCAAAUUUGAAAUGAAAACCCAUGUACUUAAUGAUGGUUUCUGUAACGUGAAUUUGGUUCCAAUGCCCAUGUGCUGGAGUUGGGCGUGUAAAUGAUGUUGGAUCUUUGUGCUCUAAUGGUGUUUGAAACAAUGCCCCUGGGUUGAUGAAAUUGGUUUGGGGCAUUGCAUUUGCCCCUAUGUUUCUUGAAUCAAUGUCUUCAUUUGCAUGUAAUUAGGUUUUAAAGUAACAAUUGGUUGGUUCAAA
rnacentral:lncRNA from 1 species